GGGGGGGGGGGGGGGGGGGGGGGGGGGGGGGGGGGCGGGCGGGGGGGGGGGGUGGGGGGUGGGCGGGGGGGGGGCGGGGGAGUGACGCGGGGGUGACGUGCGCGUGACUGCGGGAGGGGUUCAGGAAGCUGGGGCUAGUACCGGAUAGGGAUGCGUGCUGCAUGGUGGGGGUUGGGACGCUUCGGCGGUUUGGGAGGGACUCGCGGCUUAUCAGCUUGGUGGUGGGGUAGGGGCUUACCAAGGCUUUGACGGGUAGCCGGCCUGAGAGGGCGACCGGCCACAUUGGGACUGAGAUACGGCCCAGACUCCUACGGGAGGCAGCAGUGGGGAAUAUUGCACAAUGGGCGGAAGCCUGAUGCAGCAACGCCGCGUGCGGGAGGACGGCCUUCGGGUUGUAAACCGCUUUCAGCAGGGGCGAAGCUUGUGGUGACGGUACCUGCAGAAGAAGCACCGGCUAACUACGUG
rnacentral:rRNA from 1 species